UACGUAGGGGGCUAGCGUUGUCCGGAAUCAUUGGGCGUAAAGCGCGCGUAGGCGGCCCGGUAAGUCCGUUGUGAAAGUCAAAGGCUCAACCUUUGAAAGCCGAUGGAUACUGCCGGGCUGGAGUCCGGAAGAGGCGAGUGGAAUUCCUGGUGUAGCGGUGGAAUGCGCAGAUAUCAGGAGGAACACCAAUAGCGAAGGCAGCUCGCUGGGACGGUACUGACGCUGAGGCGCGAAAGCGUGAGGAGCGAACAGG
rnacentral:rRNA from 1 species